rnacentral:misc_RNA from 1 species
CCUGUGUCCGGUUAUCGGUGGUGUUCGUGUGUUGGACAUUUACAAGCGUGUGUACUUGUUUGCUGAGGAGAUGGAGCUACCAUCAGGUUGACCUGCAGUGUCGAUCACAGAUGUUGUGGUAGAGACAUCAUUUUCGCGGCCUCGUGUCCUCGGUGAUGGAGGCUCGCACGCUUUGGGAAGGACGGUAUGCCAUGAAGGAGAGGAAGACCGUCAAGACAACCUUUCAAGGACGCGUCUACAACUUUCUGGAAAGACCCACGGGAUGGAAAUGUUUUCUC